AGGCGUUUUUUAAGCUUUCGGGGAGAGAGUACAUAUAAUAAUAAUAAUAAUAGUAGAGAAUUUCGAAUGUAAUUUUGACGUAAGGUUCUGAUUUAAUCAUUUCCGGUUAGAUCAUACGGUUCGGCGAACUUUCGGCGCGCAUGUGCAACAUUCGAUCAUGACGUGUACCAGCGCUGCGUACGAAACACCAGUCUGUUUCGAGUGAAAUUAUCAGCGAUGUACGGUUAAACAUGGUGAUUACGAGGUGUCGUGGUUUAUUUCUUGUGAGUCAGUUUCAAAACGGGAAUAUUCACGCGGAGUGCGACUGAUUUAUUUUUCGAUAUUACUACAGCUUGCGAUGAUAGUGGUGCAGCUGGUGCUUGAAAAUAUGCGGUUUCUAUUUGUGUUUUAGCAGUACGAACCGUUGUUUAUGUUGCGUUUGGCGUUGCUGAAAUCGAAUCAGUAUUUCUGGACAGAUAUUUUCCGGAUUUCAUCCGUUUUAUUAAUUUGCCAUCUUGGAUAUUUUUAAAUUUUUACUUUUUACAAAUUGGUGGUUAUAUUUUUAAUUUGGUCAUUGCUUAAAAAUUGUUGAUCUGGGAUUCUGGGUGACGAUUAUUGCUUUAUCAUUUUUGACUGAUUUAGUGAACGGACGUUGCACCAACCACGGUUUACCUGUCCUUGUUUUAAGACCUAAUUAAUUUUCUCCAUCAAUUUUUAUUCUCAUCGCCCAUCCCAGUUUUGCACGAUGCGAUACAGACGGCAAGCGCUCUCACCCUGUCCACGUGAUCCUCUCGCAUUUCCCGUCCGCCUCUAGUCAUGGUCAGUCCGCAUUCCCCGUCGAGCAGCGACUUCCAGCGUGUCACCCGCUCCAAGACCCGCCUGGCCCCCUCCGAUCCCUCCGACGUCAGUCCCCCCGGCGCCGCCAACAGCGGGAAGGCCCGCAAGCGGAAAAUGAAAGCCGCACAGUCCAACGGCAGUCUUCCCUCUUCGUCAGCCCCCGCGGCCAGCGUCGUGACGGUGGAGACCAACGGGAGUGUGCGUGGGUUCAAGGAUCUCCUGGCGGUGGGAUCGGGCAGCUUCCGACCGCGACUGCCGUCCAGUGCCUCGUUUGAGGAGCGCCGCAAGCGUGAACUGGAGGUGGAGGAGGAUGAUAGGAAGAAAAUCACCCUCUUCCGGUCUCCCUUGAUGACCGUGUAUUAUUUUGUUAUGGAAGUGUCACUUUAGGUACGGGACUUUGGGACCGGGCUCAUUCGCUCCAACCUGAUUAUUCCAUUUGCCCUUUUAUCUGCACUGGUUGUUGUCACAUACAACAUUCAGGGACCGCAUCAGUCGUAUAAUGGCUCUGGAAAGAAAAGAAGCUCUGUUGGUUUCCGGCUGGUUAGUUCCUCCCGCGGUACUUUUCGACAGGCAGCCUGAAAGUCGACAUAUCGUAGCAGAUAGUCAAUGGCUUUUUCCGCUUCAGCCAGACUGCGCAGAAUCCCCGGUUGAAGAUUGCCAUUUGGGAGAACGAUGUCCAGUGGUACAACGUUCUUAACGGUUUGAGCGCUGGCGGACGUUCUGUGAGCACGUCGCCGAUCGAAUUCCUGGAUGGAGUUGGAGAGAUUGGCCAGUUCCUCUUGAACGCUAUCGCGAUGUUUGUAGUAUUGAUCCGCCAUUGCAGCGUUAUAUUAUUAUGAUUGAUCCGAGCGGACUUUCGUUAACCAGAUUCCUGUCCACUAAAUGUUUUUAAACAAGUAGACGAGUGUUUGUGCAUUCUUGACGUACUGCGUGUAGCAGCCACUGUCAGUUCUCAAAUUCUUACCUAGCAGUCUAGCACUACGUAUUAAUAGUACCGAUAGGAAGCGUGAGUUUUGUUGUGCAUGUACAG